CGGACGGGUGAGUAACGCGUGGGUAACCUGCCUUAUACAGGGGAUAACAGUUGGAAACGGCUGCUAAUACCGCAUAAGCGCACGGCAUCGCAUGAUGCAGUGUGAAAAACUCCGGUGGUAUAAGAUGGACCCGCGUUGGAUUAGCUAGUUGUGAGGUAACGGCCCACCAAGGCGACGAUCCAUAGCCGACCUGAGAGGGUGACCGGCCACAUUGGGACUGAGACACGGCCCAA
rnacentral:rRNA from 1 species